GACGAACGCUGGCGGCGUGCCUAAUACAUGCGAGUAGAACGCACAGUUUAUACCGUAGCUUGCUACACCAUAAACUGUGAGUUGCGAACGGGUGAGUAACGCGUAGGUAACCUGCCUGGUAGCGGGGGAUAACUAUUGGGAACGAUAGCUAAUACCGCAUAAUAUUGAUUAUUGCAUGAUAAUUGAUUGAAAGAUGCUAUUGCAUCACUACCAGAUGGACCUGCGUUGUAUUAGCUAGUAGGUGAGGUAACGGCUCACCUAGGCGACGAUACAUAGCCGACCUGAGAGGGUGAUCGGCCACACUGGGACUGAGACACGGCCCAGACUCCUACGGGAGGCAGCAGUAGGGAAUCUUCGGCAAUGGACGAAAGUCUGACCGAGCAACGCCGCGUGAGUGAAGAAGGUUUUCGGAUCGUAAAGCUCUGUUGUAAGAGAAGAACGGGUGUGAGAGUGGAAAGUUCACACUGUGACGGUAUCUUACCAGAAAGGGACGGCUAACUACGUG
rnacentral:rRNA from 1 species